GAUGAACGCUGGCGGCGUGCCUAAUACAUGCAAGUCGAGCGAACAGACGAGGAGCUUGCUCCUCUGACGUUAGCGGCGGACGGGUGAGUAACACGUGGAUAACCUACCUAUAAGACUGGGAUAACUUCGGGAAACCGGAGCUAAUACCGGAUAAUAUAUUGAACCGCAUGGUUCAAUAGUGAAAGACGGUUUUGCUGUCACUUAUAGAUGGAUCCGCGCCGCAUUAGCUAGUUGGUAAGGUAACGGCUUACCAAGGCAACGAUGCGUAGCCGACCUGAGAGGGUGAUCGGCCACACUGGAACUGAGACACGGUCCAGACUCCUACGGGAGGCAGCAGCAGGGAAUCGUCCGCAAUGGGCGAAAGCCUGACGGAGCAACGCCGCGUGAGUGAUGAAGGUCUUCGGAUCGUAAAACUCUGUUAGUAGGGAAGAACAAAUGUGUAAGUAACUAUGCACGUCUUGACGGUACCUAAUCAGAAAGCCACGGCUAACUACGUG
rnacentral:rRNA from 1 species